rnacentral:rRNA from 1 species
UACGGGGGGGGCAAGCGUUGUUCGGAAUUACUGGGCGUAAAGGGCUCGUAGGCGGCCAACUAAGUCAGACGUGAAAUCCCUCGGCUUAACCGGGGAACUGCGUCUGAUACUGGAUGGCUUGAGUUUGGGAGAGGGAUGCGGAAUUCCAGGUGUAGCGGUGAAAUGCGUAGAUAUCUGGAGGAACACCGGUGGCGAAGGCGGAUCUCUGGGCCUGUUCUGACGCUGAGGCGCGAAAGCUAGGGGAGCGAACAGG